UGAACUCACAGAGACUGAGGCAGCAUGCAUGGGGCCUGUACAGGACACUUCUGUCUAGAUAUUACAUCACUGUUGGAUAGUUGGUUCAUUUCACAAUAAGGUGGAGAUCAUCAAAGAUCUGUCAAAUUUACCUCAAUUUUUUUGACUAAGACAAGACAAAAGAUCCUCUGGUAUCUCUCACAUGCUCAUUAUGAAACAGAAAAAGACACAGGGAAGCUGUGUGAGCAUCUGUUGAAGGAGCUGUGAGAAAUGUGAAGACUUCUAGAGCUCCAACCCACAGCAUCUCCUUUGCCUCUAAUACUGCAUGCAAACUUGCUUUGUAGAAAGAAGUAUGACAAAAGGUAACUAUAGUCUUCAACACUCAUGAAAAAGGCUUCUGUUUGCAACAGACAGAGACCAUCACAAAGCAACAACAAAUCCACCACAACUGGUCAAAAUGUGGAGAAAAUGCAUUAUGUGGUACCCAGCACCAGUGGAUACAACUAGAAAACAACCCCUACCUCUAAGACUCAAGGAACACCAUGGAAAGGGGGAAGAGUUAAAAUUUUAAGAGCCAGAAGACUAAGAAAUCUGUAAGAGGGUGUCUCCUAACAAUGACAGUUAAGCUCUGGCAAUAAUAGCUCAAAAGUAUGGCUGCCUAAACAACCACUGGACAAGGACAACAUGGAUAUUCAACAUUGACAUGCAAACAUGGAAGAGGGAAAGCUCACAGCCCCACCCCAUGAGCUAAAGGCAAAGAAAGUACGCUGAAAGUGGAAGGAGUAGUCUUCCCACUGCGGAGCGUUUGAAUUGGUUAACCAAUACCAAGCGUCAGUCCUGAAAUCAUGCACAUUCAACACUAAAUGGACUCAUCAGGUUAUACCCAUAUAUCUAUGUGUAUAUGUACAGAUACAUAUUACAGAUACACAUAUUACAUGUGCAUGUAUGUACACAUAACAGAUAAGAGAAGACCAUGAGUUUGGAAGGGGAUGGAGCAUAAGAAAAUUGGAUUAAGCCAGGCAGUAAUGGCACAUGUCGUUAAUCCCAGCACAUGGGAAGCAGAGGCAAGUGGAUCUUUGUGAGUUCGAGGCCAGCCUAGUCUGCAGAGA